GUCUAUGACCAUGCCACCCUGAACAAGCCCGAUGUCUGAUCUUGAAGCUAAGCAGGUUCGGGCCUGGUUAGUAGUUGGAUGGGAGACCACCUAGGAAGACCAGGUGCUGUAGGCA
rfam:Pteropus alecto contig169240, whole genome shotgun sequence.